UUCCGGGUUAAACCAGUUUAACGUUAACGGUUUUUGGUUUUUUUUUUAUUGCAGCGGCUGAAAUGAGUCGUAACAUGUGAAAGAGGCGAAAACAUCUUUAAUGUUCAUCUAAUUGAGGAUAUUGUGCUCCAGCUGGACGGAAGAGUGUUUGAGGAAUGAACAUGCCUGAAAAACAGCGGAUGGUGAUUCUGACGCGGUGUUUGAGCUGCAGGCCUGGACUUGAUUCAGCGUCUCAGAGCAGAGGAGCAAAGAUCCUCAGCUAACAUGGUCGGUUUAAUGUCAGUAAAUCAGACGCAGACUGGAGGACAAUCAUCAGAUAAAGAUCUGUGUGACGCUACCUGACUGCAUGGAGCCCACUGAGAUGGAGAGACAAUAUUAAGCACCAUCACACUCAAUACAUUUAACUUAAAGCAGAGACAGUGAAGUGUACAGUGACAGUGAUGAAGAAACUGUAAGUGGAGUCAGGCCGAUACUGAUCCGAGUAUCAGAUCAGUGCAUCCACUGAGUGUUUAAAGACACACAUACUGCAUAUUUCCAGCUCUAUAUUUAUAUUCUGGGGCUCUA